UGUGCAUCUCUAUAAGCGGAAGAAGAGACCCCAACAGGGAUUGCCAUAGUAGCGGAGAGUAGCGCCAAAAAGCUCAAAUUUGAUAUCUGGCGCCUUCUGUGUCCGAGUUGUUAUUUAAAGAUUGUAACCUGGGGGUUUCCUCUUGUAUAUUUUUCUUGGAACAGGAUGUCACAGAGGGUGAGUAUCCCGUGGGAUGAGAUGCCCAUUUUUAUGUAAGGCGCUUUAGAAGAGUAGAGUUGUUUGGGAACGCAGCUAUAAGGGGGGGGAAAAUCCCAUCAAAAGCUAAAUAUUGGCGAGAGCCCGAUAGCGCACAAGCACAGUGAUGGAAAGAUGAAAAGAUCUUUGAAAAGAGAGUGAAAAAGUACGUGAAAUUGUUGAAAGGGAAGGGUUUGAUAUCACACUGGAUAUUUUGUGAUCCUUUCCUUGGGGGCGGGGGGACCCGCCAUUUAUCGGGCCAGCAUCGGUUUGGGCGGUAGGAAAAAGGCGUAGGAAAGUGAGUUUACUUCGGUAAAGUGUUAUAGCCUGUGGUUGAUGCUCCCUGCCUAGACUGGAGGACUGGGAUUAAGCCAGGAUGUCGGCCAUUUGA
rnacentral:rRNA from 1 species